rnacentral:rRNA from 1 species
AGCGAACGUUAGCGGCGGGCCUAACACAUGCAAGUCGAGCGAGAAAGUGGCUUCGGCCAUCAGUAAAGCGGCGGACGGGUGAGUAACACGUAGGUAAUCUUCCCUUGAGCGGGGGACAACGUUUCGAAAGGAACGCUAAUACCGCAUAAGUUUUCAGGAACUCUGGUUCCUGGAAGGAAAGCUAGGUCGCAAGAUCCGGCACUCGAGGAGGAGCCUGCGUCGCAUCAGCUAGUUGGGGGGUAAUGGCCUACCAAGGCGAAGACGCGUAGCUGGUCUGAGAGGAUGAUCAGCCACACUGGGACUGAGACACGGCCCAGACUCCUACGGGAGGCAGCAGUGGGGAAUAUUGGACAAUGGGCGCAAGCCUGAUCCAGCCACGCCGCGUGAGUGAUGAAGGCC